rnacentral:rRNA from 1 species
UACGUAGGGCGCAAGCGUUGUCCGGAAUUAUUGGGCGUAAAGAGCUCGUAGGCGGUCUGUCGCGUCGGAUGUGAAAGCCCGGGGCUUAACCCCGGGUCUGCAUUCGAUACGGGCAGACUAGAGUGUGGUAGGGGAGAUCGGAAUUCCUGGUGCAGCGGUGAAAUGCGCAGAUAUCAGGAGGAACACCGGUGGCGAAGGCGGAUCUCUGGGCCAUUACUGACGCUGAGGAGCGAAAGCGUGGGGAGCGAACAGG